AAUGCCAGUGCGCACUGGGCAUCAAAAGCGCAGCUAGAGGCAAAACAAUGUCACAAAAAAGGACAUAUCCUUCAGGUGCAGAAAAAAGGAAGAAGAAGAAAGUGGAAGAGGAGAAAAAAUGCCAUGAUAAAGGAGCAUUGUUAAAAUACUUUGGAGGCACAGAAUCAGCCCAGAGCCAGUCCACAUCCUCAGGCUCAACUGUGAGUGAUGAAUCAGGUCCAUCUCCAUCCUCUACAGUGCUCUCUCACACACCUCCAUCCUCUGUGCCCACUGUCCCCUCCAUGUCUGAAACCACAGCUGAUUUAUCUAGUAAGUUAACUGCAAAACACCCUUUAAAAUUGCUCAUUGUACUGCAGAACAUUCUGAGAUUAAUAAUUAUGUCCAACAGUGCAAUUUAAUGACCUUAUAGGUCCUUCUUUUUUAGUCAUUGUCUUUCUUUGGUCACUUCCUCAGCAGACAAGGUAAGAGAGGCUUUGUUAGAAGUCAGGGAAAAAACUACUGACCCUACACUAAAAGUUGGCUCAAGAAAGACUGAGUGGACUGGCAGUGAUUAGUAUUAAUAACAAAGUCGGCCAUCAGAUUUCUUACAGUGAUGUCAUAAAUGACUUUGCCUCCAGAAAAGCCAGGAAGCACAGGUUUUAAGGAGUGGGUGGAGUGGUGUGGGUGGUGAAGAA